rnacentral:rRNA from 1 species
AUUGAACGCUGGCGGCAGGCCUAACACAUGCAAGUCGAACGGUAGCACAGAGAGCUUGCUCUCGGGUGACGAGUGGCGGACGGGUGAGUAAUGUCUGGGAAACUGCCCGAUGGAGGGGGAUAACUACUGGAAACGGUAGCUAAUACCGCAUAAUGUCGCACGACCAAAGAGGGGGACCUUCGGGCCUCUUGCCAUCGGAUGUGCCCAGAUGGGAUUAGCUUGUUGGUGAGGUAAUGGCUCACCAAGGCGACGAUCCCUAGCUGGUCUGAGAGGAUGACCAGCCACACUGGAACUGAGACACGGUCCAGACUCCUACGGGAGGCAGCAGUGGGGAAUAUUGCACAAUGGGCGCAAGCCUGAUGCAGCCAUGCCGCGUGUGUGAAGAAGGCCUUCGGGUUGUAAAGCACUUUCAGCGGGGAGGAAGGCAAUGCGGUUAAUAACCGUGUUGAUUGACGUUACCCGCAGAAGAAGCACCGGCUAACUCCGUG